GGGAGAUGCUAAUAAAACAUGUUGAAAUGCCUCAGCCCCCAACUACUGACAUCACGCAUGCAAACAGUAAACACAAUGAAAUGCCAGGACAUGAGAUGUACUUUUUAAAGCUAAGGUUCAAAAAUUUUUAUCCAGAAUCCCAAUAUAUUUAUGCAAUUCUCAAGAAACAAUAAUUUUUGAAAUCAUAACCUACAGAAGCUUAUAAAUAAAGAUUAAUCAGUAUUUUUACCAAGUACAAAAAUUAAACAGAUGGAUUAGGUAAGUUUCCUAUCAAUAUCAACAUCAAUAUCAAGAAUUACAUUAUUAUUUAUUAAAGCUAUUAUUGUAAACAUCAAAGCAUACAAAUUUAAGACCACACACCAAGCUUCUUGGAAGAAAAAAAAAUGAUAGUAAGAACUGACUUGCAUGGCCUUUGAAACUCUUAAUUCUGUCCUAUAACAGGUCAACAGCUUUGGGGAAUUGAAAUGAAA
rnacentral:misc_RNA from 1 species